AUUGAACGCUGGCGGCAUGCCUUACACAUGCAAGUCGAACGGCAGCACGGGGGCAACCCUGGUGGCGAGUGGCGAACGGGUGAGUAAUGCAUCGGAACGUGCCCAGUAGUGGGGGAUAACCAGUCGAAAGACUGGCUAAUACCGCAUACGACCCAAGGGUGAAAGCGGGGGACCGUAAGGCCUCGCGCUAUUGGAGCGGCCGAUGUCUGAUUAGCUAGUUGGCGGGGUAAGAGCCCACCAAGGCGGCGAUCAGUAGCUGGUCUGAGAGGACGACCAGCCACACUGGGACUGAGACACGGCCCAGACUCCUACGGGAGGCAGCAGUGGGGAAUUUUGGACAAUGGGCGCAAGCCUGAUCCAGCCAUGCCGCGUGCGGGAAGAAGGCCUUCGGGUUGUAAACCGCUUUUGGCAGGAACGAAACGGCGCAGGCCAAUACCUUGCGCUAAUGACGGUACCUGCAGAAUAAGCACCGGCUAACCACGUGCCAGCAGCCGCAGUAAUAC
rnacentral:rRNA from 1 species